rnacentral:rRNA from 1 species
UAGCAUAUCAAUAAGCGGAGGAAAAGAAACCAACAGGGAUUGCCCCCAGUAACGGCGAGUGAAGCGGCAACAGCUCAAAUUUGAAAUCUGGCCCCCAGGGUCCGAGUUGUAAUUUGCAGAGGAUGCUUUUGGCAAGGUGCCUUCCGAGUUCCCUGGAACGGGACGCCAUAGAGGGUGAGAGCCCCGUCUGGUUGGAUACCGAGCCUCUGUAAAGCUCCUUCGACGAGUCGAGUAGUUUGGGAAUGCUGCUCUAAAUGGGAGGUAUAUGUCUUCUAAAGCUAAAUAUUGGCCAGAGACCGAUAGCGCACAAGUAGAGUGAUCGAAAGAUGAAAAGCACUUUGAAAAGAGGGUUAAAUAGUACGUGAAAUUGUUGAAAGGGAAGCGCUCAUGACCAGACUUGGGCCCGGUGAAUCAUCCAGCGCUCGUCGCUGGUGCACUUUGCCGGGCUCAGGCCAGCAUCAGUUCGCUCCGGGGGACAAAGGCUCUGGGAAUGUGGCUCCUCCGGGAGUGUUAUAGCCCACUGCGCAAUACCCUGGGGCGGACUGAGGUUCGCGCAUUCGUGCAAGGAUGCUGGCGUAAUGGUCAUCAGUGACCCGUCUUGAAACACGGACCAAGGAGUCGUCUUCGUAUGCAAGUGUUCGGGUGUAAAACCCCUACGCGUAAUGAAAGUGAACGCAGGUGAGAGCUUCGGCGCAUCAUCGACCGAUCCUGAUGUUCUCGGAUGGAUUUGAGUAAGAGCAUACGGGGCCGGACCCGAAAGAAGGUGAACUAUGCCUGUAUAGGGUGAAGCCAGAGGAAACUCUGGUGGAGGCUCGCAGCGGUUCUGACGUGCAAAUCGAUCGUCAAAUAUGGGCAUGGGGGGCGAAAGACUAAUCGAACCUUCUAGUAGCUGGUUUCCGCCG